rnacentral:rRNA from 1 species
GGUGAAUUUUCCGCAAUGGGCGCAAGCCUGACGGAGCAAUACCGCGUGAGGGAGGAAGGCUCUUGGGUCGUAAACCUCUUUUCUCAGGGAAGAACAAAAUGACGGUACCUGAGGAAUCAGCAUCGGCUAACUCCGUGCCAGCAGCCGCGGUAAUACGGAGGAUGCAAGCGUUAUCCGGAAUGAUUGGGCGUAAAGCGUCCGUAGGUGGUUAUGUAAGUCUGUGGUUAAAGCGUGGGGCUCAACCCCAUAAAGGCCAUGGAAACUACAAGACUUGAGUGAAGUAGGGGUAGAGGGAAUUCCCAGUGUAGCGGUGAAAUGCGUAGAGAUUGGGAAGAACACCGGUGGCGAAAGCGCUCUACUGGACUUAAACUGACACUGAGGGACGAAAGCUAGGGGAGCGAAAGGGAUUAGAUACCCCUGUAGUCCUAGCCGUAAACGAUGGAUACUAGGUGUUGCCCGUAUCGACCCGGGCAGUGCCGUAGCUAACGCGUUAAGUAUCC